CGCACAUUGCGCCUGUUGGUAUUCCAACAGGCAUGCCUGUUCGAGCGUCAUUUAAGUCCUCAAGCCUAGCUUGGUGUUGGGUGCUGUUCGCGCUGCGCGGACUCGCCCCAAAUGUAUUGGCAGUCGGCAACAGGGUUGUUGGAGCGUAGCACAAUUUGCGCUCCCAGCCACUAGCGCUGGCGUACAUGAAGCUUAUUCCAACGUUUGACCUCGGAUCAGGUAGGGAUACCCGCUGAACUUAA
rnacentral:misc_RNA from 1 species